rnacentral:lncRNA from 1 species
AGAGGCCUCUGCUCUGCCAGCCUGGGAGUCAUCUUCACCCUCAGGCUGGUAGACUCCAGUCUCUUAGGUCAGAAUGGGAUUAGAGACCCGUUCCUGAACCAGUCACACACAGCGGGUGAAACUGCUAUGAUUGGUUUAGACUUAGAGACUGGAAUGGAUGCUGAAAUUAGAAUUAAAGGAAUCAGAAUUGAAGUGAAUCUGACUACACUAAGCCUAUCACUUGUGACAGCCAUGGGAAGAUAUCAUUGGUUGCUGAGGAGCAGAAAUAAGCAGAGACCUAUUGUGUUAGGUUAUCAUUCAUUUCAGACAAAAAGCAGAUCAGCAAGUUUUCAUAUUGCACUAUUUUCAAUGGCUGGAGCAUCAACAUUUUACAACAAGAAAAAAAUUAAAAUUCUUCAACAUUUGGAAAAGAAGUGUUUGUAAAACUUUUCACAUCCAUUCACCAUCCGGAAAAGCAAGGUUUUACAGUGAGGCCUGAUGAUGUCUAGAGUCACCAUGCAUCUUGGAAAAUGACCUCCUAUUUAUUUCUUCUACAGGACACCAUGGUGUUCACCUUUCUACAACUUUACACUUGCUGAGGACAUAUUGUGGAAAAUUAAGAGAAAUAUAUAUGGAUGGCCAAGGCUGUA